AUUGAACGCUGGCGGCAGGCCUAACACAUGCAAGUCGAACGAGUGGCGGACGGGUGAGUAAUGUCUGGGAAACUGCCUGAUGGAGGGGGAUAACUACUGGAAACGGUAGCUAAUACCGCAUACCAUCAGAUGUGCCCAGAUGGGAUUAGCUAGUUGGGGGGGUAACGGCUCACCAAGGCGACGAUCCCUAGCCGGUCUGCGAGGAUGACCAGCCACACUGGAACUGAGACACGGUCCAGACGCCUAAGGGAGGCAGCAGUGGGGAAUAUGGGACAAUGGGCGGAAGCCGGAUGGAGCCAUGCCGCGUGGAUGAAGAAGGCGUUCGGGUUGUAAAGUACUUUCAGCGGGGAGGCGUUACCCGAAGAAGAAGCACCGGCUAACUCCGUGCCAGCAGCCGCGGUAAUAC
rnacentral:rRNA from 1 species